UCUCACGGUGGUGAUUGUGAUUAGACGACC
rnacentral:piRNA from 1 species